CAGAAGGCUGUUCUUCUGGUUGUGAGUGCGCUGGGUCAACCCGGUGGUUUUUGGGGGGACAGGCUGAGUGCAUACUCCUGCUUUUCUCUCUAGAAAUCUCAAGCUUUUUCUCCCCCCCCACCUGGGACCCUUCCUACUCUGUCACACAGACGUGACAAGGCAUCUUCCUUAGGCCGGCUGGUGUACGGAAAGCCUGAGUGGUCCUUGGUCUCACGCUGGGUCCCACGGCUGAAGGGCGCUGACAGGGUCAGAGCCCGCUCACCUCACUCACAGAGCUGGGGCACUCAUUUCAGGGUGUGGGGUGGGUGUCCUGGCCGACUGUGAGGUCGUCAUGACCCCGCCCGUAGUGUGCUUCAGUGUGCCCAGGGGGAGCGGGGUAAGGGCGGCACGCAGGCAAUUGCCCCAGGCCCGCGCCGACCAGACUUUUGCUGUGGGAGGCGGAGGCAGGGCUGAGAGUUGCUGUGAGAGCACAUGUCCACCAGAGGGCGCCAGAGCACAGCAGAGCCCCCUGCAGCUCCCUGCUGGCAUUUCCAGGCUCAGAAGGGGAUUGGAGAUGCACCGAUGGGACCCCAAGAGGUGCCUCUGACCCUGUGGCCCAAUUUGCCUCAACUCAGUCAGGGGACGGAAUUCUGCCAUCACACGUCUAAUUCAGUUCCUCUGGUCGGGUGGCCCCAAGGUGAGGGAGCGAGACAGGCUAACUCGGGUCUGAGUGUCCUUUGCUUGUUUUUAGGCAGAAAUCUGGACCCAGAAACACCUGGCUUGAAUGUGCGAUGUGCAGUUUUCUAGAAUAAGCCUGGUGGGGAGCUUGGCUUCUUGGGCUUCAGGGCACGAAUGCACUGUGUCCAUCGGUGGUCUUUUGGGGUGUGGGCUGUGCUCAUGUGGGCUCUUUCUCUCUAGAGAGCUCCACAACCUCGAUCUUCCCCCUGCACCCGAGCCCCUCCAGCCUCUGCAGGACACCCAUUUGAAGGCCGCUGUCUAAAUCCAUGUAAGGUGAAUUAUGGCGGGGUUGUUUAGGAUUCCGAGCAGAGUCCUGGGAAGGAAGGCUUCUGAUUCCAAACCUACUCUCCUGACGUACAUGGGAGGGCUGCUGAUUUCAGGGAGUGGGAUAAGGUCAGGUGUGGUGAGUGGCCUGGCCGACCGUGGACUGUGCGCCACAACCCCCACCAUCGUUAUUCUGAGUGUGAUGAGAGGGAGACGGGUAGGAAAACCAUGCAGGCACGUGGCCCAGGCAAGAGCAGACCAGGGUUCUUCUGGGAGGCAGAGGAAGGGCUGAGGCUGGCAGUUAGAUGCCACGUCCAGCAGGUGGCGCCUGAGUGACAGCCGAGCUCCCCACCAGCUCCCUGACCACAGAACCAAGCCCGGGACAGGGUAGAACAUGAUUGGUGGAGGCCCGAGGAUGUCCCAGACGUUUGCCUUUGGUUACACGGUGCUUCAGCUCAGAGGAUUACGGUUCUCCCGUCACAUCUCAGUUCCAGUCUCUGUGUAAUCGUGUGGUCCAAGGGAUAGAAAGUCUGACAGGCUGCCUAGGGCAUGAGUGCCCUUUGCUUGUUUGAAGUACAACACUGGCUCCAGAAAUCCUUGGCUUAUAUCUUGGGCCUGCAGUGUUUCAGAAUCACGCUGCUGUGACACUUGCUUCUGGAAAGCAAGGCUCUGAGUGGUCAGUGCAGUGCGUCAGUGGGGUGGUACUGGGGGGGGGGCGGUCUUAGCAAUUCUUGUGCCCUUUCUCUCUAGAUACCUCCACCUCUUUCCUCCCCACCUGAGCCUCUUUCUCCUCUGCGGGGGACCCUGUACCAAGGAACCUACCAACAUCCAGGGAAAGUGAAUGACGCCUCAGAGGUCCUGGAUCUCUCAAGCUGGGUGCAGGGCCGAGGGGUGCUGAUGGAUGGCCAGCUGGUUCUGUUUACUGACAAAGUGGGGUGUCAGAUUCAGGGAGUGCGGUGGUCUCGUUUGGGGUGAGGGCCCUGGCUGACUUUGAGAUAGUUCUGCCCCCACCCUGUGCUGCGAGGGAGAGGAGUUAGGAAAUCAGGGCGGCAAGGGGCCCAGGCCAGUGCAGACCAGAGGCCUGCUUGGGAGGCAGAAGGGCUGAGUUGCUGUUAGAGCACAUGGCCACCAGAUGGCGGCCGAGCACUGGCAGAGCUGCUCCUCGGGCAGCUCCCAGACUUGACCUUCAGGCUCCAAGGCAAGGUUGAAAAUGGGUCCUUGGCACCCCUAGGAGAUACCCAGAGUCUUCCGUUUUGGUAUGUGGUGCCUCUGACCCUCUAACCACAUUUGCCUCCUCUGAGAGACGAGAAAUAAUUCUGCCGUCACAUCUGUGGUUCAGUUCCUGCAAGGGUUCCCCAAAGCCUCUGCCUGCCUUCUGCAGCUGAGCUGCUUCAGCCUCUGGGGGACACCCAUUUGAAGGAACCUGUCCAAAUCCAUGUAAGAGAUCUCCUAUUUUUUCCCUCCCACCUGAGGCUCUUCCUCCUCACCAGACACCUGUUCCAAGGAAGCUCCUGCAACAAGGGUGUGGGCUUGUGUCGUGAAGGUUGAGUAUCCAGGGUGACAGUGAAGAAUCCAUACUCCCACCGCAAGAGUGGAUUUCAGUGUGCCUGAGAGGAAGAGGAGUAAGACAUCCUGCUGGCAUGUGCCCCAGGUCUGCCUCUGGAGAAACACGGCAAGCUGGCCCAUGGAACAUGUCACACUCUUGCACCCGGGGCACCUGAUCAGGCUGGACGUGCCCAUCAGAUGCUGAAGGCACAGCUGCGUCCCUGCCCUGAGGUGAGUCCAUUUGGCCAGAGCAGGAGCGGUGCCCUGUCUCCAACCCAAAUCCAUAAGCAUGUUCUGAGUGUCCCACAGCCCAUCUUGAACUGCACCUCUGAGCCUGGAGUCUCAGCCAGGCGUCUGCCAGGGGCUCUGCCUGGGCUGGGGUUCAGCCUGGUGACCUUCAGUCUAACACCACCUCUCAGCCCUUCCUCCUGUUUCUCAGGAGCCCUAGAAGCUACCCUGGCCUGGGGCCCGGGAAGCUCCAUUUUGUUUCUCCUCAGCUGGGGCGCUGAACGAAUGCCCUCGACACUGGGGUCUUUCUCUCUCAGUCCCCCAGAGCGCUCACCCCAACUUACCCCGCCUCAGUACAUAAAAACCUCUGCAUCCCCACCCAUGGGGUACCGAGAGCCUCCUUUAAAUCAGUCCCAGCUGCCUUCCCGCUCAGGACCUUCCCCUAGUUCUGCUCCUUGAAACCGCGAUUGCAGACAGGACAUAGAGGUUCAGAGGGAAGGGGAACAAAGACAUUUGGGGAGAACUCCUGAAAGAUAAAGCCCAGGGAAUCCUGUCUGGCCCCCCAAAUAGCACCACUUUUACAAGCUCCAUUCACGACCACUGGCCCCUUUGGACACGUGAUGCCUUUACAGAGGCUGCAGGUUUGGUAGUUUCAAGGCGAAGAUUCAAGACAGAUAUUGGGGGUCCAGUGUCCUUGCCCCUUGAGAAACAAAAAGCAAACCAACCCCAGAGAACACGUCCACCUCUCUGGCCCCUGGGCAACCAGAGCCGGAUGGAACCACCCAUCAGAGGCAGAAGACACACAUCUUUCUGUUCCCCGAGGUCAGUCAAUUUGUGCCAGAGAGUCAUCUUAACACAUCCUAGGGCUCCCACUAACCCCUCUUGGCACCACCUCGUAGCCUGGAGGUGCAGCCAGGGGGCUUCAGAUGGGCUUUGUCUGUGCUCUGGCCCCUCCCGGAGGUCAUCUCCCCUACCACUGACUCUCAGCCUUUCCUCCGGUUUCCCUCAGCGGCCCCCCAGGGCUCUCCUGGCCUUGGGCAGCUGCCAGCUUGAUGGAAUUCCUCCUCACCUUCUAAGCCCAGUGAAGUGCCCAGAGAGAGGGGUAGAUUCUCAAAGACUCCCAGCACGCACCCCACACCCCAACGUAAGGCCUUCAACCCUCUGUUUUCUCCACCCACAUGUGCCAUGAGAGCAUCCUUUCAAUCGAUUACCCUACUUUAAUUCCCGAGAACCACCUUUAAGUCUGCUCCCUGAACAGGGGUUGGGGACAGGAAAACAAGGCCCCAAGGGAAAGAGAGGAGGGAGUUAGGGGAGGGGUCUGGAAGCACAAAUCCUAGCGAAUUGCACAGUCGCCCAAUCAAAGCAGCACCCCUUUCACGUGCUCCAUUCACGACCACCACCCCUUUUGUCAGCUGACAACCACAUGGAGUGGGAGGCUUGGCAACUGCAAGGCCAAGAUUCAAGACAGACAUUUGGGGUCCAAAGAGUAAUCUUACCCCAGAGAACCCGUCACACUCUCUGGCCCUGGGCCACCCAGGCAGGCCAGAAAUGCCCAUCGGGUGCUGAAGGCACAGCUCUGUCCCUCCCUGAGGUGAGGUGACCUGGGACAGAGUGUUAGAGGCACCCUGUAAGCAGCCCCAGGUCUCUGAGCAGGUACUGAGUGUUCCGACACUCCUUCUGCAACUCCACCCCCGAGUCUGGGUGUGCUGCCAGGCAGGUACACGUGGUCUCUGCCAGUGCUGUGGUGCGGCCUGCUGACCCUCUGCUCUGACUCCAUCUCUCAGCGCUUCCUCCUGGUUCCCUCAGCAGCCCCUGAAGGCACACGCUCCUUGGGCCCUGGCAGCUUGAUUUCAUUGCUCCUCUGCCACCCAACACAAUGAAGUACCCUGGACACUGGGGUAAUUCUCACAGCCCAGAGCACUCACCCCAUCCUAACGGACCCCAAUACAUUCAAACCCUCUGCCUCCCCACCCGCUGUGUCUUGAGAGCUUUAAAUCAAUCCGCUUUCAUUCACAAGACCUGUAUUAAAGUUAGCUCCUUAUGAUACAGAGGUAGAGGC